GAUGAACGCUGGCGGCGUGCCUAAUACAUGCAAGUCGAGCGAAUGGAUUAAGAGCUCGCUCUUAUGAAGUUAGCGGCGGACGGGUGAGUAACACGUGGGUAACCUGCCCAUAAGACUGGGAUAACUCCGGGAAACCGGGGCUAAUACCGGAUAACAUUUUGAACCGCAUGGUUCGAAAUUGAAAGGCGGCUUCGGCUGUCACUUAUGGAUGGACCCGCGUCGCAUUAGCUAGUUGGUGAGGUAACGGCUCACCAAGGCAACGAUGCGUAGCCGACCUGGGAGGGUGAUCGGCCACACUGGGACUGAGACACGGCCCAGACUCCUACGGGAGGCAGCAGUAGGGAAUCUUCCGCAAUGGACGAAAGUCUGACGGAGCAACGCCGCGUGAGUGACGAAGGCUUUCGGGUCGUAAAACUCUGUUGUUAGGGAAGAACAAGUGCUAGUUGAAUAAGCUGGCACCUUGACGGUACCUAACCAGAGAGCCACGGCUAACUACGUGCCAGCAGCCGCAGUAA
rnacentral:rRNA from 1 species